AUGAACGCUGGCGGCAUGGAUUAGGCAUGCAAGUCGAACGGGCCGUCUUUCGCAAGGGAGGCGGCCAGUGGCGAAAGGGUGAGUAACACGUGAGCAACCUGCCCCCGAGCCCGGGAUAGCCCGCGGAAACGUGGAUUAAUACCGGAUGUGGUACCCCGCUGCAUGGCGGGGCCACUGAAGAUUUAUCGCUCGGGGAUGGGCUCGCGGCCCAUAAGCUUGUUGGCGGGGUAACGGCCCACCAAGGCUAUGACGGGUAGGUGGUCUGAGAGGAUGGUCACCCACACUGGGACUGAGACACUGCCCAGACUCCUACGGGAGGCUGCAGUCGAGAAUCUUCCGCAAUGGGCGAAAGCCUGACGGAGCGAUGCCGCGUGAGGGAUGAAGGCCUUCGGGUUGUAAACCUCUGUCAGAGGGGACGAAGAAUGUGACGGUACCCUCAGAGGAAGCCACGGCUAACUACGU
rnacentral:rRNA from 1 species